GCUGUGGCCUGAGGCCUGGACUUUCCCAGGGGAUAGGUAUCCAGAUCGUUUGUGCCCUUCCAUAUCACCUUUCAUUCAGAGGCCUUACCUGGAUUGGUAGCCAAGCAUUGAUACUCAUGCCUCCCCAAAGAGAGCUCGUGGCACAGAGGAAAAUGGACAUAAGGUAGCGGUAACAGGCUGGCGACUGUGGCUUUUACACAUUGCUUCACACAACCCUGUCCAGGAGUUUUACACACUCACUAAACAAACAGAAGACACCAUCCAAUUCACUGGAGCCCCGUUGGAUAAAUACGGAAAGAAUGUGGGAGCUAUGUCAUGAACCACAAUGGUUUUGUGUUCUGUGUAAUUUGAAGACGAGAUUCCUUUGCUGUGUGUCACCUCCCAUAUUACCACUGUCGCCCAACAUUUCAUAACCAUCAACUCUUUGCCAGUGCCCACAUGCAAAGAUGGGUUUGUAUUAAAAAAUAAAUGAGAACAGCACAUUCUGAUGUGGUGUAGUAUAUCAGCAUUUUCCAUGAAACCUCGUCUCCGGCCUUCCCCUUUUAGGAAACAAAGGACCCGUGACAGAGCCUACUUAUCCCGUUACAGCUCCUGGUGAGAAGGGCGAAGCCAUGUCAGAAAUAAUAGAAAAGGCUUUUUCCUUUGAAAUAUCUAAACGUUCAAAGAUGGGAACAGCCGCAGGGGGGAGAAUACUGUGCUAUGCAAGUUGAUCUGAUUUUGUGGACCAUCCAUUUCCAAUUGGGAAGCUCACUUACUUUCAACUUGAAGCAUCAGAAAACCAGACUUACAGCAGCUUCAGCCUAUAGGGGUUUAUUUUUCUCAUGUAACAAGAAGAACAGAAGUGGACAGAGGCCGAGUUCUCAAGGACUCAGUUUCUUUCUGUCCCACCAACCUUACCAUGUUGGAUUGUCAUCUUUGUGCUUGUUGCCUCAUGAUGGCAAGAUGGCUGCAGCACCUCUGGGACUCACGACUGAUUUUUAAGGUAGGAAGAAGGGGACAGGACUGUACUAGCCAGAUGGCUUCCUUUCAUCUGGAAAGCAAAAGGUUUCCCUGAAUCCUCAGCAGAUUUCUGCUGUCUUCCCAUUGGCCAGAACUGUGUCACAUGGUCACUUUUAAUAGGUUUAAAAAUGAGUUUUUCUUGGGAAUAUUGCUGGCUUGAACUAAAUUGUGGUUCUGUUAGUGCAAAAAAGAGGAGUGGGUGGAGUUUGGUCACAUACCUCACACAGCCGCUCUUCUUAAGAUGCUACUUAGAGGAUGGUAGGGACUGAGAGGAGGAGGCAGAAGGAGCAUAGCGACCUCUUUGGAGAUACUACAGAGCCUAAGUCAAAGCUUGUUCUUGGACCCAGGAAAUAUGUCAAAUCCUUCCAGUGAAUGGUGCCUUUCAGGAUUGGAGACUACUCCCCCAGUUGCUGAUGGUGUGGUCAGCCCUCAGUUUUCAGUCCUCUUUGGGAAUUGCCUUGGAUGAAGAAAGUCACCUCACCCAAGAUCACUCCAACUCCUGGGACCCACAUCCAAUGAUUGGCCAAUAUGGGGACUCAAAGGCCUGGUCCCCCUUCCCCAACUUGAGACUACUCUGAAGGAUCACCCAGCUUCAGAGCUUCCCAUGGUUGAGACUUUUAGACUUCACUGUGGUCCAACCAAUCUCUUCCUAUACACGGUCCUGACUCCUUCACUUCCCUCCCAGCACUUCUUCUGUGUUAAUAUCAAACUUCUGUGCUAAUAACAAACUUCUUCCGUGCUAAUAUCUCUCAGUGUCUCCUUCCCUGGGAACUCAACCCUAGAUUGUUUAUACCAGCAGUGAUCCAAGAAAGAGAUGCCAACAUGAGAUUUUGGAAUUGGAUCACCUACCAUCCAGCUGGCAGUGCAGACCCCAUCAGUGGCAGUAGAAGAAGUACAUAUAGUCCGUAGCACAAGAUAGCAGUGAAAUUGUUAAAACUUUUGCC
rnacentral:lncRNA from 10 species